rnacentral:lncRNA from 1 species
GAAAAUGGACUUUACAGAUGUGGGCCCAGACAAUCAGCCUGCUAGUUUUCAAGAAACCUUUGAAGCCAAAAAACAAGAGUUCUACAAUCAAUGUCAGAGGGAAGAAGAGUUGAAACAGAUUUAUGCAGCGAGUUAAGGAGAAAGAAGCAACAUUUAAAGAAGCUGAAAAAGAGAUCAGUACUGACAGUUUGAUAUAAUUUGCAUUAAUUUUUAGGUGCCCUAUUAAUUUGGGGGUUUUAAUCUCAAGAGUUUAGUUGAUGUUUUUGGAGGAUAUUUGCUAUUUUUCCAAAAGUAGCUUUUUACCAUGUAGAUUUGAAGAUAGCCUUUACAAAAUUGUAGUCUGUAAUGUUUUUUCUAGAGAACUUAGAUAAUUUUCCAUUUAAAUAACCCUUAAGAUAAUUUUAUAAAAAUUUAUUUAUUUUAUUUACAAUUUAAAUUUUCAUGCAUAAAGUUUAAUUUGUGACAAACCCAAGCUAUUUAUUUUGAGAAGAGUCUUGUACUAUCUAAUGCUAUUAAUGCACUAGAAGAUUAUCUUCACUUUUAUAAAUAAGCAAAUGUUGACUAGUGCUGGCCUUGAUUAAUGAGAAAAUUUUAAGUUGGUAAAUUAUGUAAAUUAUUUAUUUAUUUUAUUCCAUGCCAUUUCUAAUAAAAUGGAAAAAAAGGCUAUUAAUAUAGUUUUA